GGCUGGCUAUGAAUGAAACCCUGAAUUCAUUCCCUGCUUUUUGUGUUCUCUUCCCCAGAUGCCAAUGGCUCCAAGUUGUCUUUGCUGCUGGACUCCAGAUCCCAUCUGACAUGACACUGGUGAUGGAGGGAUUGGUGACAGAGGGACACAAUGGUGCAGCAGCAUGGAUUGCCUUCCCAAGCUUUCCAAAGGUCUCAGAGAGUGGAUCUGCACGUGAGAAAACAGGGAAUACAAUGGGGAAUGGAAAAGAUGUGCUGCUGUUCUUUAAGGCAGAAUGUCAUCAGAUGUGCCAGCAUCUCCUCUGCAAGGCUGUCUGGCCUGAAUUCCUCUGGGAAUGCUUCCUUACAGGCAUCUUUGCCUUGGCCUCACAGCACUGUGAGGUCAUCCCAGCCCUUCCCAGCAGCCUGGAGCUCUGCCUGGCCUUGGAGCUUUCUGCCGGCAGCGAGAGACUAAACUUCGGAGGAGCCUGACCCCGGGAUUAUCCGAGGGAAGACAUGUGCUCGCUGUUCGGGAGUCACCAUCUGCGAGGGAGAUGCCGGGCAGCGGAGACGCGUGGCAGGGACACGGCUGCAUCUGCCCAGGAUGAACAGGGACCUCAAUUCCUGAGCAUCCUCCCAGCCCUGCCCCGUGCCUUUAUCACCGCGACGAGUUUCUGCUCGACGGGAGGGUUCCUGGGCUUUUCUAUUCCUUUCCCACCAAGCCUCCAGCCCAGCUCCGGGGGACUUUCCCCUCCUCCCUCAAUCAGCCCCGGCGGGUCCAUUUGCUUUUGUCUCCCAUUAAUUGCUUGCUACUUUUCAUUGCCUGCUCCUCCCCCUUUUAAAGAUAAAUUUUAAAGCCCGAGCGGGGUGGAGAAUGGCUGAGCCCGCUGUUAUUUUUGACAUUCGCCCCAGUGACAGCUGGACCUUGCAAGGCUGGGGCCGUUCGCACACAAAGCCUAUUAGCUAUGCCCACUCACUUAAUGAGCCCUGAAGUCUGGAAGGAAAAUUUCCUCCCCUAAGUGUGGCAGAGCCCUUUGUCAUUGUAAACAGGCGCUGCUUGCCGAGCCCUGCCUUGCCUUUCUCCUUCCUGCCACCGUGGCUUUUCUAUUUACUCAGGAAACAAAAGCGGAGCCGUGUCAGCGCGCAGGGAAGAAAAUGUACCCAGCGACUGGGGCUCGCAGGGACCCGCCUCUGCCACCCACCGACCGCAGCCAGGGCUCCUCGGUGUCACCGGCACCAAGGGGACACCUUGGAUGGGCUGCGGGAGAUGCUCCCGGCAUUGCAGAACCUCAGCUGCUCCUGCAGGGACCGGCUGUGCAGCCCAGAGCAGCCCGGGGAAAUCAUUCCUUCACCUGAGCACGGUGGGUUGGGGCUACAGAAAAUCCUGCAUAUGCUCAAAGUUGGUUUGGAGAGGUGUUUUCUGUAGUUGUUUUCUGGAUUCUGUCCCAGCCCUACAAAUAACUCACAAAGGAAUCUUCUUUCCUUCUGCCUCUUUUGAACUUGCAGCCUGCCCGGGCUUGCUACUUUUUAAGCCCAAACAUGUCCCGUUCCAUGCCCAUUUCCAAUGCAAGUCACUACCCAGCAGAAUAAAACCUUAAGUGCCAAUAAAGCA
ensembl:lncRNA